GUCCUGAUAUGUGUGUAAGGAAUGCAUUGUGUGAAUCUGUGUUUGUAUGUGUAAGGGCUGCAAGGUGUGUUUCUGUGUAUGUACAGGAUGCAGUGUGUGCGUGUGUAAGGGGUGCAUUGAGUGUGUGUAAGGAAUGCAUUGUGUGUUUCUGUGUAUGUAAGGAAUGCAUUGUGUGUAAGGGUUGCAUUGUUUGUGUGUGUGUGUGUGUAUGUGUGUGUGUCUGUGUGUGUAAUGCAUUGUGUGUUUUUCUGUGUGCAAGGGGUGCAUUGCAUGUGUGUGUGAUGGAUGUCACUCUCUCCCCC